CGAGAUUUCAAGGCUUCUUAGGACUUAUCUUUUAAUUUCUUACUGUCAAUUCUUUCUUUAUUUCUACUUGUGUUGAAUCAUUAUCUAAUCUAUUUUCUGUUCUUAUUGUGUUUUCAGCCUUUUUCUAUCUUAAGGAAUCAGCCCAAAAAUCCCCAAUUUCUAGGGUUUUUCCAUACUCUUUUUGGGUGAAAUUAGAUUGUCGAAAUUUGGGAAAAACUAUCUUGGUGUUCAAUUGGGCAGAAUCACAAUCUCCUUGAGGGUUUCAAGAACCCUAACACUUAUUUCUAUUCUCAAUUUGAUUCUUUACUGAUUUGGGGAUUUUAUUUCAGAUCUGAAAAUUCAAAAAUCUAAUCUUUUUAAUUUUCUGUUUCGUUUCAGAUCUAAUUGUUUAGGGUUUUCGUAGGAGUUUCUCGUGACUUGGCAACUCGAUCUUGGUCCGCGCGCAACCCCGUAUCAAAACUACUACAAAUUUACCCAAAUGUAGCCUCAAAACAUGAUUCAUUAAUCUCAUAAAUGUACUAGGUACAUUAGUAAGGCCGAAAGGCAUAACUAACCAUUCAUACAAUCCACAUUUUGUUUUAAAAGCUGUUUUCCAUUCAUCCCCUUCCCUCAUUCGAAUUUGAUGAUAACCGCUUUUUAAAUCAAUUUUUGUAAAUAUUAUUGAACCAUGUAAUUCAUCAAGCAUAUCAUCAAGUCUAGGGAUUGGGUGUCGAUACUUUACCGUUAUCUUAUUGAUUGGGCGACAAUCAACACACAUACGAAACGUACCAUCUUUCUUUGGCACCAAUAAGACAGGAACAGCACAAGGACUUAGGCUCUCACGAAUGUACCCUUUGUCUAGUAAUUCCUCCACUUGCCUUUGCAAUUCCUUUGUCUCCUCGGGAUUGCAUCUAUAGGCUGGUCGAUUUGGGAUUGAAGCUCCGGGUACUAAGUCAAUUUGAUGUUCUAUCCCUCGUAAAGGUGGUAAACCUUUAGGGGCCUCACUAAAAACAUCAUCAUAAUCCUGCAAAAGAGAUUGAAACACACUAGGCAAAUUUUCGUUAAUGUUAGAUAAAGAUAAAUAAUUUUGCCUAAACCUCACAAGGAUACAAGGCUGUUUAUUAAGUAGGGCUCUCUUCACAUCUUUUUUUGUUGCCAAAAGAUUUUUUCCGCUCAUUUUACCACUAGAGGAUUCACUCACCUUUGGGCUUUUUAAAUUUUGACUUUUUCCACUACUAUUAGCCUCUUUUCUCUCUGUCUUUUGUACUUGCUCUUUCUCCCUUACCCCCUCACAAAAUUUUAUCAUCCUCAAUUGAUCUUUAUAUACAUCAGUAGGAUUUAAAGGAGCAAAAGUGAAUUUCUUGCCUUUAAAUACAAGGGAGUAUUGAUUAAGUUUACCUUGGUGUGUAACAUCGCGAUCAAAUUGCCAAGGUCGUCCAAGGAGCAAGUGUGCCGCAUGCAUGGGGACUACAUCACACCAUACGUCAUCCUCAUAAUUGCCGAGUUUAAAAGUGACCAAGGACUGUUUCGUAACUUUAACUUCGGAACAUUCAUUAAGCCACUGAAGGUGAUAUGGCUUAGGGUGUUUGGUACAAGGCAACUUUAAAGAAUCCACCAAAUAACUACUCACUACAUUCGAGCAACUCCCACUAUCAAUAAUGAGUGAACAUAAGUUACCUUUAAUAAAACACCGAGAAUGGAAAAUAUUGGUCCUUUGGCUCUCAUCAUCUUUUAUCUGAAUGUUAAGGGUUCGACGAACUACAAGGCAUUGAAAAUUAGCAAAGUCCCCUUCCUUUGGUGGUUCGACCAACUCGUCGCCAUUAUCACUGUCAUCCACAAGUUCUGGCAUAUCUGGAUCUGUAUUAUCAGAGUCAGAAGUGUACUCACCGUUAUCUUUUAGAAGAAGUAAUCUCGUGUUAGGGCAUUCUCUACUAUAAUGACCACGCCCUUUGCACUUAAAGCAUUCAAUCUCACGAGUCCUCUUCGCACUCGAAUCACCUAAAUUGGGCUGCUUAGAAGGUGUUUGCGUUUUUGCAGGAGCCCCUUUUUUCCAAUCUGAUUGUUUACUUCCAUUACUCAAAGAAGACUUGUUAGUAACAAAAGGUGGUUUUGAACUCUUAAAAUCAGAAUUGGAAUUGUUACCUCGAUAAUAUUGUGAAGUAGAUAAGGACCCAAACCUUUGUUCCUUUAAUUGUUGCUCGAUCUCAAUGGCUUUAUGAACUGCUUCUUCCAAAUCAAUGUAAGUUUGUAGCCUCAAUGUAUUAGCUAUCGGCCUGUUCAAACCAUCAAUGAAUCGAACCAUAGUUGUUUCUUCAUCUUCCUCCACAUUAGCUCUCUGAAUGAGCAUCUCCAUCUCUUUAAAAUAUUCAUCCACCGUCCUACUACCUUGGAUAAGUCUUCUCAACUUUGUUUUAAUUUCUCUAUAGUAGUGAGGUGGAAUAAACCUUUUACGCAUAAUCUGUUUCAACUCAUCCCAUGUCGAAAUCUCACCUUCAUAAUUCCGAUGGCGGUUUACCCCAAGUUGAGUCCACCAACUUAAUGCAUAAUCAGAAAAUUCCAGUGUUGCUAACGCUACCUUUUCAUCAUCCGGACAUUUAUAAUACCGAAACAUGAGUUCAAUCUUAGAUUCCCAUUCACAAUAAGCGUCAGGAUCGUUCUUACCACGAAAUUGGGGAAUUGUGAAUUUCGGUUUUGCCAAAGAAGGUUGUCCGCGAUCAUGAAAAUCAUCAUCCAUUCUAGGGACACAUCGAGGGCCGCGCCUAUGGGGCUGGUUAUUCCUAUCUUCCCUGAUUGGAUCUCGAGAUUGAAGUUCUUGAUUCAUUCAUACCUCAUUCAAAGUAGUAUUCAAUGCUUGAAGGGUAGCAUUUAUUUGUGUGAUUGCAGCAGCGUGUCCUUCUAACUGUUGUUGGACUUCCAUAAGUGUAUCAUUAUGGUCAUCUUUAGACAUCUUCCAAAAAAGCUGCAAAAAUAAACACUCAACACUCAAAAAUAAAAGUUAUCAAACCUCACCGUUAAUCACUCAAAAAGAAAAAAUCAAAUUCUCAAUGAGGUCAAAUUCAAUCUUGUGAGUUCUUUAUCAGAGUUUAUAUCAACCAAUUAGAGAGUGUGAACCAAACUACCAAAGAAUCCUAAUUUGCACUAGGAUGCCAAAAACUGACGAGACACCAAUUGAUUCGUGUUGCACCGAGGAAGAAGUUGUGCACACGUUUAAAUCCUAAUAACACAAGAAACAAGAAGGUGUUAGAUAACGUAAAGGAAGAAUAAAGGUAAACAAAUGAAAACCUACAGCUAAGAAUCAAUAAAAAUUGCUGAAAACAGAAAACCCGAAAACUGCGGAGUAACUUGACAACUUCGUUCGAGGUGUUCCCGAUCUCCAAAAAUUACAAAAUUAAAUCUGGAGUGUCCUUUUAUAUUGAAUUUUUUAUCUGGAAAUUUUGGGCACCAAAUUCAACUCGCUGAAUCUUUUUUUAAAUUUUUAUUUAAUUUCGUAUUUUUUGAUUUUUUUGACUGAUUUUUUUGCGGGAAUAAUUUUUUUAUAUUCAAUCACAGUGCCAAAAACAUGUAUGUAAAAUUUCAGAUCAAUCGGACAAUUUUUACCCACUCAAAUGAAUUUUUUUAACAAUUUUUCUGGGUAAAACUGCUGUUUAUGCUUUAAAAAAAUAGAGAUCAGUUUAGAAAUCAACCAAGAACACCCAAAACGCCCAAAAUCUGAUACCAAAUGAUAUAGAAUGCGCGUGGACCAAGAUCGAGUUGCCAAGUCACGAGAAACUCACCUUAGUGCCGCUCACUCCGGAACAAGUCCAUGAGGACCAAAUCAAACUGAAAAAUUCUGUUAAAACAAGUGAGGAAAAAGAAAAAGAGAAUGAAAAAGAGCAAAAAGAGAUUGAGAGUGAAAAAGAAAUUGAAGAAAGAAGAGAAAAUGAAUUAGAAAAAGAAACAAAAGAAAAAGACGUGGAAAGGGUAGUGAGGAAUGUUUCCACUAACCAAGAUAUGAAUUUUUCUUGUGUUGCUACUUUUCAGGUUCCCGAAAGAUUGAAAGAUAACUUUCAACUUCAAUACCUCUCAAAUGAAAGACGCUUUCAUACGAUCAACUUAGGCAAAGAUGAAAUCACACUACAUGAUCCCGAAGGUAAGCGAGGUAAGGAAAUUUUAGAAACCGAGUCCAGUGCAGAUUUGAAAAUUAUUGAUAAAACUUUCGGUGACUUAGUUCUUAAAAGAUGCCCUCAUUUUGAUCCGAUUAAUUGUUACACUUCGAUUGUGGUUGAUAAAGUCAUUACGAAAAGAAGCGUGAUUUGUUAUUCUCUUGAUUUACCUUGUGUAAAAUCCUCGAAUUUGUCCAAAUCAGUUUUGGAGAAUAAGGUAACGAAAUUUUCCAAAUUUGUUUUCAUUUUAUAUUCGUGCCUUAAACAGUUUAUGUGGUUGUACAUGAAGUUUGAGUUCCAUUUGACAAAGGUUAACUCAACAACAGAGAUUCGACUACACUAUGCCCCCGAUGAGCGAAGGUUUGUUUUAAAUGAAAAAGGUAAAAUCGACCCUUAUUCUUUUGCUUAUCAAGGUAAGAUGCUUGAAACCUUUGAAACACUUUUGUACUCCUCGGUUAGCGACAAAGAUUGUGUUGAUGAACACUUAGAUCGAAAUGUGCUUGACUGUCCUAUUUUAUUUAUUGAUGAUAAAUCUAUUUUGAUGGUUGAUAAAAAGAUUCUUGUUUUUGAUAAUGCAUGUGUGAGUGAAUCUAUAGACCGUUAAUUAAGGCUUGGUAAUCUGAAUCUGUCCAUUCACAUGCGUUAUAACUGUUCUAUUAUGCUUAUAAUUGGACUACAAACUUGUUUGCGUUGCUAUUUACUAUUUCAUGGCUAUUCUUUUCAGUGGACUCAAUUGCCAUUAGUCCCGUUCGAUCGAGGAAAGUCGAGUUCAUUUGAUUUUUUAGAUUCGAGGACGAAUCUUUUUGAGGAAGGGGGGAAUGAUACGAGUCAUAAAGGCCCAAUCCAAGUUCAAGAACGUGAUGGGCUGAAAUUGCCACAAGGCCCAAUAACGAGAUCAAAGGCCCGACAAAUGCGGUCCAAACUAAAUGGGACCAUUCAAGAGCUUGUUAGCAAGGCCUUAGAUUCAUACACGAGAGAACAAGAAAAUUAAGAUUCACUUUCUUGUUUUCAAGAAAAUCAAGAAAUCGAAUCUUGGCCCAAUUUUGCUGUUCGAAGAGAUUUCAAGAAUCAAGAAAAUCAAGAUUUCAAAUCUUGGAAAUCUUGGUCCAAGAAACCAAAUCUUGCAGCCAAAAUGCAUUGGAUCUCCAGUAUGAGCGUCAACGACCCAAUUUUGGUAGGAGAUGGAUCACGAGCCCAAAUUCUUGAAAGCGAGGCCCAAUAACCAAAAUCCAGCCCAAUCAAGAAAUUUCUUCAUACUUAGUUGAAAAUCAGGCCAAAAUGUCAAAGGGUCCAAUUCGUAAACAUCCUACUUGUUUAAUUUAAUUUUUUAAUCUUUAGGAGCAUUACAUGUAAAAUUCGGCCCAAAACAGCCCAUAUAAGUGCAUGGCCGAAUUUACCUUGUUAUUUUAUUAAUUAGGUUUAAUUUUUAUUAGUUACUUGUGAGAUUAGGAUUUGUUGGAGGCCUAUAUAAGCAUUGGCCAGCCACCCUUUGUAAAAACAUCUUAUUAUUAUUAUUUUCUAUCAAAUUUCAGAUUUGUUGAGUGCAGAAUUUUCUUUGGGGUUUUCUCCAAGAAUUAUCUCUUGAGUUUUCUUUAGAAGUUGUUUUAACAAUCUUUUGAUUGUGGGAGCCAUCUUCAACCUUCUUCUUGCCAUCGAUAUUCUUUGGAGGGGAGAUUAGAGCCGUUCGAAGAGAUUUGUGAAAUCUUUCGGGAUUUCAAGGAUCUUUAGGACUUAUCCUUUAAUUCUUGCUGUUUUCGAUUUCUUUCUUUACUUUUCUUUGCUUAUACUUGUGCCGAUUUCUCAUCUAAUAUUUUGUUGUUCUUGUUUGUUUUCCAGCAUUGAUUAAACUCAAUAUCUCAUCGUUUAAGUUGUUCUCCUAUUGGCAGCACCCAUUCGAACCCAAAAAUCUACAAUUCCUAGGGUUUGGCCGAUUGGAUUUCUUUCAAUUUGGGAAUCAAUUGAUUGCUGGAAAUUGGGCAUUCUUGGCCGAAUCAAUUCUUUGGCAGAUUCGCAUCUUUUCUUUCUUCUCAAUUUCGUUUGAUUCAUCGAUUCUAUUUCUUUUCUUCUUGCUGCUCUUUUGAUUGAAUUUGGGAAUUUUAAAUUCAAAUCUGAUUCAGUUUAAUCUUAAUCUUUGUUUUUGAUUUCAGAUCUGUUCGUCUAGGAUCUUUCGUAGGAGUUUCUCGUGACUUGGUAACUCGAUCUUGGUCCGCGCGCAAUCCUAUAUCAUUAAUGAUACGAGUCAUAAAGGCCCAAUCCAAGUUCAAGAAUGUGAUGGGCUCAAAUUGCCACAAGGCCCAAUAACAAGAUCAAAGGCCCGGCAAAUGCGGUCCAAACUAAAUGGGACCAUUCAAGAACUUGUUAGCAAGGCCUUAGAUGCAUACACGAGAGAACAAGAAAAUCAAGAUUCACUUUCUUGUUUUCAAGAAAAUCAAGAAACCGAAUCUUGGCCCAAUUUUGCUGUUCGAAGAGAUUUCAAGAAUCAAGAAAAUCAAGAUUUCAAAUCUUGGAAAUCUUGGUCCAAGAAACCAAAUCUUGCAGCCAAAACGCAUUGGAUCUCCAUUACGAGCGUCAACGACCCAAUUUUGGUAGGAGAUGGAUCACGAGCCCAAAUUCUUGAAGGCGAGGCCCAAUAACCAAAAUUUAGCGCAAUCAAGAAAUUUCUUCAUACUUAGUUGAAAAUCAGGCCAAAAUGUCAAAGGGCCCAAUUCGUAAACAUCCUACUUGUUUAAUUUAAUUUUUUAAUCUUUAGGAGCAUUACAUGUAAAAGUCGGCCCAAAACAGCCCAUAUAAGUGCAUGGCCGAAUUUACCUUGUUAUUUUAUUAAUUAGGUUUAAUUUUUAUUAGUUACUUGUGAGAUUAGGAUUUUUUGGAGGCCUAUAUAAGCAUUGGCCAGCCACCCUUUGUAAAAACAUCUUAUUAUUAUUUUUUCUAUCAAAUUUCAGAUUUGUUGAGUGCAGAAUUUUCUUUGGGGUUUUCUCCAAGAAUUCUCUCUUGAGUUUUCUUUAGAAGUUGUUUUAACAAUCUUUUGAUUGUGGGAGCCAUCUUCAACCUUCUUCUUGCCAUCGAUAUUCCUUGGAGGGGAGAUUAGAGCCGUUUGAAGGAAUUUGUGAAUUCUUUCAGGAAUUCAAGGGUUCUUAGGACUUUUCUUUAUUUCUUGCUGUUUCGAUUUGUUUCUUUAUUCCUACUUGUGCCGAUUCAUCAUCUAAUAAUUUGCUGUUCUUGUUUGUGUUUCAGCCUUGAUUCAAACUCCAAGAACUCUUCAUUUAAUCGGUUCUUUUAUUGGCAACAUAUAAUCGACUCAAAAUUCUCCAAAAUUUAGGGUUCUUGCCGUUUUCUAUUUCUUCUUGUUGGGUGAAAUUCGGCUGCUAAAAUUUGGGCAAUUCAUAUUGGGUGUUCAAUUGGACCGAAUCGCAACUUAAAUUCACUUCUUGAACCCGUCAAUUUCAUCUAUUUCUUUCUUUUCUUUUGCCGUCCAAAUCCCUAAUUUUCCAAUUAAAAAUCUGAUUGUUUCAAUCUACUUACUGUUUUGGUGUUCUUGGCAGAUUCGGCUUGUGGGAUUUCACUAUUGGAGUUCGAUUUCAUCUUCUUGAACUCCGAAUACAUUUAUUCAUUCGUUCUUUGUUCCUUGCUGCUCAUUAAUUGAAUUUGGGGAUUUAAUUUCAGAUCUGAUUAGUUUAAUCUUGUUCUUUGUUUUAAUUUUCAGAUCUGUUCGUUUAGAGCUUUCGUAGGAGUUUCUUUUCUUUUGCCGUCCAAAUCCCUAAUUUUCCAAUUAAAAAUCUGAUUGUUUCAAUCUACUUACUGUUUUGGUGUUCUUGGCAGCUUCGGCUUGUGGGAGUUCAUUCUUGGGAAUCAAUUUCGUGUUCUUGGUUUCAAGAAACCUCUUUCAUAAGUGUUUCGUUCCUUGAUUAGAUCUUGCUGAUUUUUAGGGUUCUUAUUCCAGAUUUUAAUUUUCCAGAUUUAAUCUCAUUCUUUGUUUGAUUUCAGAUCUGUUCGUUUAGAGCUUUCGUAGGAGUUUCCCGUGACUUGACGACUCGAUCUUGGUCCGCGCGCAAUGCUAUAUCAUUUGGUAUCAGAUUUUGGGCGUUUUGGGUGUUCUUGGUUGAUUUCUAAACUGAUCUCUAUUUUUUAAAGCAUAAACAGCAGUUUUACCCAGAAAAAUUGUUCAAAAAAAAUUCAUUUGAGUGGGUAAACGUUGUCCUAUUGAUCUGAAAUUUUACAUAAAUGUUUUUGGCACUGUGAUUGAAUAUAAAAAAAUUAUUCCCGCAAAAAAAAUCAGUCAAAAAAGUCAAAAAAAUCAAAAAAUACGAAAUUCAAUAAAAAUUUAAAAAAAGAUUCAGCGGGUUGAAUUUGGUGCCCAAAAUUUCCAGAUCGAAAAUUCAAUAUAUAAGGACACUCCAGAUUUAAUUUCGUGAUUUUUGAAGAUCGGGAACACCUCGAACGAAGUUGUCAAGUUACUCCGCAGUUUUUCAGGUUUUCUGUUUUCAGCAAUUUUUAUUGAUUCUUAGCUGUAGGUUUUCAUUUGUUUACUUUUUAUUCUCCUUUUACAAUAUCUAACACCUUCUUGUUUCUUGUGUUAGUAGGAUUUAAACGUGUGCACAAUCCUUCCUCGGUGCAACACGAAUCACUUGGUGUCUCGUCAGUUUUUGGCAUCCUAGUGCAAAUUAGGAUUCUUUGGUAGUUUGGUUCACACUCUCUAAUUGGUUGAUAUAAACUCUGAUAAAGAACUCACAAGAUUGAAUUCGACCUCAUUGAGAAUUUGAUUUUUCUUUUUGAGUGAUUAAUGGUGAGGUUUGCUAACUUUUAUUUUUGAGUGUUGAGUGAUUAUUUUUUACAGUUUUGAAGAUGUCUAAAUGAGAUAAUAAUGAUGCACUUAUGAAAGUCCAACAACAGUUAGACGGACAUACUGCUGCAACCACACAAAUAAAUGCUACACUUCAAGCAUUGAAUACUACUUUGAAUGAGGUACGAGUGAAUCAAAAACAUCAAUAUCGAGAUCCAAUUAAGGAAGAUAGGGAUAACCAGCCCCAUAGGUGCAGCCCUCAACGUGUCCCUAGAAUGGAUGAUGAUUUUCAUGAUCGUGGACAAUCAUCUUUGGCAAAACCAAAGAGCGAGCAGCAACGAGAACAUCUCUUUCAUACUCGCUGCCAUGUACAAGGUAAGCUUUGUAGAGUUAUUAUUGAUGGUGAAAGUUGCUCGAACAUAGCCAGCACGACGAUGGUGGAAAAGCUUUGCUUAACCACUACCAAGCAUCCACAACCUUAUCAACUACAAGGGCUUAGCAACAAAGGCCAAUUUAGGGUCACUCAACAAGUGCGCAUCGCCUUUUCUAUCGGUAAGUAUCAAGACGAAGUUGUGUGUGACGUAAUGCCUAUUCAGGCCUGCCAUUUGUUGCUAGGAGAACCAUGGCAACUGGAUCGAAAAGUCACUCACAAUGGUCGUACCAAUAGGUAUUCUUUCAAGCAUCAAGGAAAGAAACUCACCUUAGUGCCGCUCACUCCGGAACAAGUCCAUGAGGACCAAAUCAAACUAAAAAAUUCUGUUAAAACAAGUGAGGAAAAAGAAAAAGAGAAUGAAAAAGAGCAAAAAGAGAUUGAGAGUGAAAAAGAAAUUGAAGAAAGAAGAGAAAAUGAUUUAGAAAAAGAAACAAAAGAAAAAGACGUGGAAAGGGUAGUGAGGAAUGUUUCCACUAACCAAGAUAUGAAUUUUUCUUGUGUUGCUACUUUUCAGGUUCCCGAAAGAUCGAAAGAUAACUUUCAACUUCAAUACCUCUCAAAUGAAAGACGCUUUCAUACGAUCAACUUAAGCAAAGAUGAAAUCACACUACAUGAUCCCGAAGGUAAGCGAGGUAAGGAAAUUUUAGAAACCGAGUCCAGUGCAGAUUUGAAAAUUAUUGAUAAAACUUUUGGUGACUUAGUUCUUAAAAGAUCCCCUCAUUUUGAUCCGAUUAAUUGUUACUCUUCGAUUGUGGUUGAUAAAGUCAUUACGAAAAGAAGCAUGAUUUGUUAUUCUCUUGAUUUACCUUGUGUAAAAUCCUUGAAUUUGUCCAAAUCUGUUUUGGAGAAUAAGGUAACGAAAUUUUCCAAAUUUGUUUUCAAUUUAUAUUCGUGCCUUAAACAGUUUAUGUGGUUGUACAUGAAGUUUGAGUUCCAUUUGACAAACGUUAACUCAACAACGAAGAUUCGACUACACUAUGCCCCCGAUGAGUGAAGGUUUGUUUUAAAUGAAAAAGGUAAAAUCGACCCUUAUUCUUUUGCUUAUCGAGGUAAGAUGCUUGAAACCUUUGAAACACUUUUGUACUCCUCGGAUAGUGAUAAAGAUCGUGUUGAUGAACACUUAGAUCGAAACGUGCUUGACUGUCCUAUUUUAUUUAUUGAUGAUCUAUCUGUUUUGAUGGUUGAUAAAAAGAUUCUUGUUUUUGAUAAUGCAUGUGUGAGUGAAUCUAUAGACCGUCGAUUAAUGCAUGGUAUGAUUAUGCAACUCUGUGAACCAUGUGAAUCUUUUCAAAUACCUACUUGUGACGAUUAUGUUUACCAUUUGAUUUAUUACUCGCAAUUUAUUCAUGGUUUGUGGGAACAAUGUGAGACGACUGAAUGCCUUAAAAUAUGUCCAUCUUUGUUUCAAAUAUUUGACGAGGCAGUGGUGAGUAAAUUAGAUUGUUUGCAUGGUAAUCUGAAUCUGUCCAUUCACAUGCGUUAUACCUGUUCUAUUAUGCUUAUGAUUGGACUACAAGCUUAUUUCCGUUGCUAUUUACUAUCUCAUGGCUAUUCUUCUCAGUGGACUCAAUUGCCAUUAGUCCCGUUCGAUAGAGGAAAGUCGAGUUCAUUUGAUUUUUCAGAUUCGAGGACGAAUCUUUUUGAGGAAGGGGGGAAUGAUACGAGUCACAAAAGCCCAAAUUCUUGAGGGCAAGGCCCAAUAAGAAGAUUCCAAGCCCAAUCAAGAAAUCCACCCAUACUUAGUUGAAAAUCAGGCCAAAUUGUCAAAGUGGCCCAAGUUGUAAAGUUUUAUUUUUAUUUAUUUAUUUAUUUAUUUAUUUUACUUAGUUUAAAUUUUUAUAUUCAGUCCAAGAGUCCCAAAUAAAAGACCCUUGGCCGAAUUUCCAUAUUAAAAUAAUUAGGAGUUUUUUUUUAGUUUUAGUUUUAGUGUUCUAAUUAAAUUAGGAAAACAUUUGAAAGGCCUAUUUAUAUGGUUUGGCCAGCCACCCUACAUUACAUUACAAUUACAUUGAAAAUUUCAGAUUUGAUUUGAGUGAAAAUUCUCUUUGAGUUCUUCAAGGAUUUUCUCUUGAGUUUUCUUUAGAAGUUGUUUUAACAAUCUUUUUUUGAUUGUGGGAGCCAUCUUCAACCUUCUUCUUGCCAUUGAUAUUCUUUGGAGGGGAGAUUAGAGCCGUUUGAAGGAAUUUGUGAAUUCUUUCGGGAAUUCAAGGGUUCUUAGGACUUUUCUUUAUUUCUUGCUAUUUCGAUUUGUUUCUUUAUUCCUACUUGUGCCGAUUCAUCAUCUAAUAAUUUGCUGUUCUUGUUUCUGUUUCAGCCUUGAUUCAAACUCCAAGAACUCUUCAUUUAAUCGGUUCUUUUAUUGGCAACAUAUAAUCGACUCAAAAUUCUCCAAAAUUUAGGGUUCUUGCCGUUUUCUAUUUCUUCUUGUUGGGUGAAAUUCGGCUGCUGAAAUUUGGGCAAUUCAUAUUGGGUGUUCAAUUGGACCGAAUCGCAACUUAAAUUCACUUCUUGAACCCGUCAAUUUCAUCUAUUUCUUUCUUUUCUUUUGCCGUCCAAAUCCCUAAUCUUCCAAUUAAAAAUUUGAUUGUUUCAAUCUACUUACUGUUUUGGUGUUCUUGGCAGAUUCGGCUUGUCGGAUUUCACUAUUGGAGUUCGAUUUCAUCUUCUUGGACUCCGAAUACAUUUAUUCAUUCGUUCUUUGUUCCUUGCUGCUCAUUUAAUUGAAUUUGGGGAUUUAAUUUCAGAUCUGAUUAGUUUAAUCUUGUUCUUUGUUUUAAUUUUCAGAUCUGUUCGUUUAGAGCUUUCGUAGGAGUUUCUCGUGACUUGGCAACUCGAUUUUGGUCCGCGCGCAUCCCCGUAUCAACCCAAUAUGAAUUGCCCAAAUUUCAGCAGCCGAAUUUCACCCAACAAGAAGAAAUAGAAAACGGCAAGAACCCUAAAUUUUGGGGAAUUUUGAGUCGAUUAUAUGUGGCCAAUAAAAGAACCGAUUAAAUGAAGAGUUCUUGGAGUUUGAAUCAAGGCUGAAACACAAACAAGAACAGCAAAAUAUUAGAUGAUGAAUCGGUACAAGUAGGAAUAAAGAAACAAAUCGAAACAGCAAGAAAUAAAGAAAAGUCCUAAGAACCCUUGAAUUCCCAAAAGAAUUCACAAAUUCCUUCAAACGGCUCUAAUCUCCCCUCCAAAGAAUAUCGAUGGCAAGAAGAAGGUUGAAGAUGGCUCCCACAAUCAAAAGAUUGUUAAAACAACUUCUAAAGAAAACUCAAGAGAGAAUUCUUGGAGAAAACCCCAAAGAAAAUUCUGCACUCAAUAAAUCUGAAAUUUGAUAGAAAAAAAUAAUAAUAAGAUGUGUUUACAAAGGGUGGCUGGCCAAUGCUUAUAUAGGCCUCCAACAAAUCCUAAUCUCACAAGUAACUAAUAAAAAUUAAACCUAAUUAAUAAAAUAACAAGGUAAAUUCGGCCAUGCAAUUAUAUGGGCUGUUUUGGGCCAAAUUUUACAUGUAAUUCUCCUAAAGAUUAAAAAAAUUAAAUUAAACAAGUAGGAUGUUUACGAAUUGGGCCCUUUAACAUUUUGGCCUGAUUUUCAACUAAGUAUGAAGAAAUUUCUUGAUUGGGCUGGCUUUUGGUUAUUGGGCCUCGCCUUCAAGAAUUUGGGCUCGUGAUCCAUCUCCUACCAAAAUUGGGUCGUUGACGCUCGUAAUGGAGAUCCAAUGUGUUUUGGCUGCAAGAUUUGGUUUCUUGGACCAAGAUUUCCAAGAUUUGAAAUCUUGAUUUUCUUGAUUCUUGAAAUCUCUUCGAACAGCAAAAUUGGGCCAAGAUUCGAUUUCUUGAUUUUCUUGUUCUCUCGUGUAUGAAUCUAAGGCCUUGCUAACAAGCUCUUGAAUGGUCCCAUUUAGUUUGGACCGCAUUUGUCGGGCCUUUGAUCUCGUUAUUGGGCCUUGUGGCAAUUUGAGCCCAUCACGUUCUUGAACUUGGAUUGGGCCUUUAUGACUCGUAUCACCAAUGGCUUAACGAUGGUGGAGAAUUGAAGGUAACAAAACAAGUGCUCAUUUCAUUCACAAUCGGAAAAUAUCAAGAUGAAGUGAUGUGCGACGUUGUACCGAUGCAUGCAGGGCAUCUUCUUUUGGGACAUCCGUGGCAAUUCGACAAGCGACCAAUUCAUGAUGGUUACACAAAUCGAUUCUCUUUCAAACAUAUGGGACGAAUGGUGACUCUAGCUCCGUUAUCACCGAAACAAGUGUACGAAGAUCAACUCAAAAUGAGGAGUUCGAUUGAAAAAUCAAAAGAAAUCGAGAGAGAGCAAAAAAAUGAAAAGAAUAAAGAAAAGAGUGAAGAAAAGAAGAAAAACAAAAAGAUGAGUGAUAAAAAAAGAGAGAGUGAUUCAAAAGAAAAAGAAAUGAGUGAUGAGAUUGAAAAAAAGAAUUUGUUUGUAAAAGAGAGGGAAGUUCGAAAAUCGAUGCUAUUGAAACAACCAUUGUUGGUUCUUUUGUACAAGGAGAGCUUGCUUGGCACUAACGAAUUUGAUGACAAAUUGCCUUCUUCUAUUUUGUCUGUGUUGCAGGAAUUUCAAGACGUAUUCCCGAAAGAAAUCCCGAGUGGGUUACCACCUAUUCGUGGAAUUGAACACCAAAUCGAUCUUGUGCCGGGUGCCGCAAUUCCAAACCGACCUGCUUACCGGAGCAAUCCUGAAGAGACGAAAGAAUUACAAAAGCAAGUAAAUGAACUCCUUGAAAAGGGCUAUGUGCGUGAAAGCCUUAGUCCAUGCGCCGUGCCUGUUUUACUAGUUCCGAAGAAGGAUGGAACGUGGAGGAUGUGCGUGGACUACCGUGCUAUAAACAAAAUAACUAUCAAGUAUCGUCAUCCUAUACCACGAUUGGAUGAUAUGCUUGACGAGCUAAGUGGCGUGAGUUUAUUUUCAAAAAUCGACCUUAAGAGCGGUUAUCACCAAAUACGGAUGCGUGAGGGAGAUGAGUGGAAGACUGCGUUCAAAACGAAGCAUGGGCUUUACGAAUGGCUCGUUAUGCUAUUUGGCUUAACGAACGCCCCAAGCACAUUCAUGGGGCUUAUGAAUCACGUUUUAAGACCUUUUAUUGGUAGAUUUUGCGUAGUAUACUUCGACGAUAUAUUGAUCUGUAGUAAAAAUUUGGAUGAACAUAUUUUACAUUUAAAAUCUGUUUUGGAAGUAUUGAGAAAAGAAACCUUGUAUGCUAAUUUGAAGAAAUGUGAUUUCUGCACUAACAAGGUUGUGUUUUUAGGUUUUGUUGUUAGCUCGGAGGGUCUUGAAGUCGAUCAAGAGAAGAUCAAGGCGAUUCAAGAAUGGCCCCCGUCCGACGAAUGUCUCCCAAGUCCAAAGUUUCCAUGGACUAGCAAGUUUUUACUGUCGAUUCGUGCCAAAUUUCAGCACCUUAGCCGCACCUUUAACCGGGGUUAUUCGUAAGAAUUCCAACUUCAUUUGGGGAGAGGAACAAGAAAAAUCCUUUUUGAAAAUUAAAGAUUGUCUAACUCAUGCACCGUUAUUAGCUUUGCCUAACUUUGAUAAAACUUUCGAGUUAGAAUGUGAUGCAUCAGGUUUAGGCAUUGGAGCUGUGUUGAUGCAAGAUGGUCGUCCUAUUGCCUAUUUUAGCGAGAAACUGAAUGGUGCUAUCUUAAACUAUCCAACAUAUGACAAGGAGCUCUAUUCGUUGAUCCGAGCCUUAGAAACGUGGCAACACUAUCUUUGGCCCAAGGAAUUCGUUAUACACACCGAUCAUGAGUCCUUGAAGUAUUUAAAGGGGCAACACAAGUUGAAUAAGCGACACGCUAAGUGGGUAGAAUUUCUCGAAUCUUUUCCCUACGUUAAUAAAUAUAAGAAAGGUAAGGAAAAUGUAGUGGCUGAUGCACUAUCUCGAAGGUAUGCGUUGCUAAAUAUUUUGGAUGCUAAGUUAAUGGGGUUUGUAUUUCUUAAAGAUUUAUAUGUCAACGAUGCUGACUUUGGUGAAUUCUUUAGAUUAUGUGCCAAGGGAGCCUACGAGAAGUACUAUCGACAUGAUGGGUACUUAUUCUGAGAAGGAAAGCUUUGUAUACCCCAAGGUUCCGUACGAGAAGUGUUGAUCGAAGAAGCCCAUAGCGGAGGAUUAAUGGGGCACUUUGGUGUUGCUAAGACAUUAGCUACAUUGCACGAACAUUUCUUUUGGCCCAAGAUGCGACGAGAUGUCGAACGAUUUUGUAAUAGAUGCAUUGCGUGCAAACAGGCUAAGUCACGAAUUAAGCCCCACGGUUUGUAUAAACCAUUACCUAUUCCCGAAACCCCUUGGUCUGAUAUCUCCAUGGAUUUCGUGCUAGGUUUACCUAGGAGUAAGAAUGGCCGAGAUUCAAUAUUUGUGGUUGUAGAUAGGUUCUAAAAAUAGCCCAUUUUAUAGCAUGUCAUAAAACUGAUGAUGCCGUUAAUAUUGCUAACUUAUUUUUCAAAGAGGUGGUCAGGUUGCAUGGCAUGCCUAGAACGAUCGUGUCCGACCGAGACGCAAAAUUCCUUAGCCAUUUUUGGAGGACACUAUGGGGGCGUCUUGGAACGAAGUUGCUGUUUUCAACCACUUGCCAUCCGCAAACGGACGGCCAAACCGAAGUGGUCAAUCGGAUUCUGUCUACAUUGCUUCGAGCUAUUAUUUGGAAGAAUGUGAAGGCUUGGGAAGAAUGCUUACCACAUGUGGAGUUUGCGUAUAAUCGAGCUGUUCAUUCAGCUACCAAAUUUUCUCCUUUUGAAAUUGUCUAUGGUUUCAAUCCAUUAACUCCACUUGAUUUAUUGCCAUUGCCUUCUAAUCAACUUGUUCAUGUAGAUGGGAAGCGCAAAGCUGAUUUUGUCAAGCAAUUGCACCAACGAGUUCGAGACAAUAUUGAGGCCAAGACCAAGAACUAUGAGCAACAUGCUAACAAAGGUCGUAAGCGAGUUGUGUUCGAACCAGGAGAUUGGGUUUGGUUGCAUAUGCGCAAGGAGAGAUUUCCUAUGCAAAGGCGAUCCAAACUUCUUCCGAGAGGGGAUGGACCGUUUCAAGUCCUUGAGCGAAUUAACGAUAACUCCUAUAAAUUGGACUUGCCUGGUGAAUAUAAUGUUAGCGCGACUUUUAACGUUUCUGAUUUGUCUCCGUUUGAUGCAGAUUCCGAUUUGAGGGCAAAUCGUUCUGAAGAGGAGGGGAAUGAUGUGAGCUUGCCUACGAACCAAAUGUAGAACGAACAAGAAGCCAUUAAGCUGCCCAUUGGUCCAAUAACGCGAGCUAGAGCUAAACGAUUCAAAGAUGCUAUUUUAGCAAUGGUGGAACGGGUUGAGGAAAAUGAUAGCAGGGAGUUUAAAAACGAGCUGAACAUAUUCAACUUCUUUGAAGCUGAAUUUCGUUCUAGCUAAUUAAUUUACUGCUGGAAUUUUAGACCAUUUAAAUAAGCAUUUAAAUAAGUUUCAUUACAGCUUUUAAAUAUGUUUUAAUUUAGUACAAGUGUUUAAUAUGUUGAUUUGGUUGAAUUAAAGGUGUCUAGAUGUCAUUUAAUUUGUUUGAAUAUAUUACAUGAAUUAACUAUGUUCAGCCGAAUUAAUGUGUCUUGUUUAGUACAUAUUUAAUUCGGCUUAAUGUUAAUUAGUAUGUUCAUAUUAUGUUCAACUGAAUUGAGUUAAAUUAAUGAGGUUCAUUUGUUUUAUUUAGGUUCAGCCGAAUGUGGAAGAUGCAUGGUGAUACGAGCACGCCCCGCGAACUUCAUCGAACAAGUCUGUCAAGCCGAGCAUUGACAUGUUGGCAAGCUGAUCCCAGCUCGUUUUCAGCUCCACGAGCUCCGUCUAGCUCAAAUCCAGCUUAUUCAAGCUCGAUCAAACUUGCCUGAGCUAAACCGAGCUCACUCCUAGCUCAUAUUUAGCUCACGAGCUAAACCUUAGCUCAACUUCAGCUUAGGAGUUUAGCCUCAGCUCAACUUUAGCUCACGAGCUAAAGCUUAGCUCAUUUUAGUUUAAACUCGGUUUUGUCUUUAAUACAUUAAAUAAAAAUUUGCACAUAUUCAUUUAAGCAUUAAACUUGUCUUAUAUUAAUAUUUGUUAUUAAUAUGUCAUUGUCAUUAUAUAAAUUGAUUAUGUUCACAUAGCCGAAUUAAUGCAUGACAUUAAUGUGUUCACAUCAUGCCGAAUUUAUGAGUGUUCAUGAGAUGUCUUAAUGACUUGUUUAUUUCAUGUAGGUACAUUCCUUUGGACGGUACAAUGUAUGAAUGAAGAAACAUCUCUUUUGGGCAUUCCACACUCAUGAAUGAAGAAGUAUUAAAUGCUGGUGCAUGUACGGCUAGAUGCAAUGUUUCUACAAAUUCAUGCAUGUGUCGAAUGCAUGUAUGGACAUUAAAGGCUAGUCCAUGAAUGGAUCAAAUGCAUGGGAUGAUAGAAUGCAUGAAUGGCUUAAGUGCAUGUAUGGUGGCUGUCUCUUAACUUUCCAAGGCACUUAUUCAGCCAAGAAGUAGCUGCUAACUAAUUCUAUGUUGACCAUAGAGCUCCUUGAACAUGUUCACACUUUGAAUUGACCUAUAGGCUACUACACAUGCAUGGAUGGGUUCAAGAACGUCCAAGGGAAGGAAUUAACUCAAUAAUUCAACACAUUGAUUGAAUUAAGUGCAUGCACAAAGGGGAGAACGAAUUUACUAGGUUCAUGCUACCAUUUAUGAACUUACAUGCCAUUAAAGUGUUUAAUUAUGAAGAUACAUGGUCCAUACAAGUGCAUGAACGUCCCAAGGAGAUGAAUGCAACCUUUUGGUGCACAUACAAGUCACUUGAAGCCUUUCUUUAUGACUAAGCAUUCAUGCACAAACUAAGGGGGAAGAAAGUGUCCAUUCAGCUAGUGCAUGAAUCUGCCGAAUUUAUGAACUAUUUCAAUACAUUAGUGUGAACGUUUUUAUUAUUGUGUGAACACCUAGAUGCCGAAUUUGAAUGGUCAUCUAUGUGCCUAUAAAUAUUUGUUUUCUUUCAUUUGUAAAGGACUUUUGACUUUUGAUCAUUUGAAUGAACUUUGUUCAAAGAGUGAGUUUUCUCCUCUCUAAAUUCGUACGAGUUUCGAUCUGACUUAUCUAGCGUGCUAGUGGCGUCUAUCGUUCUCUUUUGAACUUAUCACCUUGCUUUGGUGUGGCGUUCAAGCCUUCUACAAUUCCUUAAUCCCACCUCGAACCGAAUAGAAAUCGGGGUGACACUUUUUAGUGUUGAAUCGUUUCUGGCGUUUAAGCUCAUUUAUCCAUUCCACCGACUAUCCUAGAUUUUACCCAACUAUAAUAUCUUUUUACAAAACCGAGCUUUCAUUUAUCCAACUUCCAUUUUUUUCUUAUUUUUAUCAUUAAAUCGAACCUACCACCCCUUAUAAAUUUACCAUCUCCUUAGCCCACCUUUUAAAACCAUUUGAAAGCUUCCGCAUCUUCAGCCUUAUCUCAUCCUAUUUCCGAUAACUCAACUAUUCCUCAUCGACGAUCGGGCAAUUAGGUGAAACGGCUCAAUUAACCCGGGCCGGAUCACAUCAUUUGGUUAUUGAUUAUUGAAAACUUGAUUGUGAGGUUUCCUCCUAUCCUAUUUCGUACGAGUCUCGUUCUGACUUAUCUAGCACGCUAGUGGCGUCAACCCGACUUCUUGAACUUAUCACCAUCCUGGUGUGGCGUUCAUCCACCUUUUUAUACCUUUGGUUCCUACCUCUCUAUAGGUAACGGGUCAAGGUCCAUCUUCGACAAUCCAUUAAACCCACCUUAAGCAAUAUAAGUCCCGGGGCAAUACUUCAUAUAGUAUUGAAUCGUUCUUCGCUUGAGUUCUAUUUUUCCAUUCCAUUUUAACUAUUAAAUUAUAAACAAUAUUUCUUUAUUUCACCGAGCCUAUCAAACAUCUAUCCAAACCAUCUUUUGAACCCAUUUUCUCAACUUCCGCUAUAAAAAAUCAUCUAACUCCAUCAUCUACAAAAUCGAACAAACUUCUCGUCGACGAUCGGGCAAUCAAGUGAAUCGACUCAAUCAACCGAGCCGGAUCACAUCACAUGGGAAAGGUUGACCGAAUGUGGUGUGCAAGAUGCAUGCAUGUUGGAUUCAAUGCACCUAAUGAUACAUGCAUGAAUUACAUUAAAAAUGGUGUGCUGAUUAUUGAAGUUCUCUAAGUGACCAUUCGGCUAAAGAGAUAGUUUUUCAAGCUGCCAUUAUUUCCUUCACAUUGCUGGAUACAUUUUGGCCAUUCUGUUCUUGGUGUUCACAUUUUAAGGCUCUUCAAAACCGUCCAUUCACACCUAAUGUGCUGUUCAAGUGCCCUCUUUAUUAUUGAUAAUUUUUCAGUAAGAGUUGCCUAUUGAAUGAUCAAUUAAGCUCAUCAGCUGAAUGUAGCUGCUACAUGCAUUCCCAAGAUUCAUUUGCUUAAUAUGGAAGCUUCAUGUAUGGUCACCAUUCAGCCGAACCUACAUUGGCCAUUUUUGUUCAAUGUUUGCUUAGAAACUAAGUCUAGAAUAUGUCCAUUCGGCUACUAGGCAUUAGGCUAUAAAUAGUUACUCAUUUUCUUGUAAAAGGACUUUUGACAAAUUUCUGAAUGAAAUAUCAUUUUAGUGAGGCAAUUCACUCUCUUUAUUCUCCAAAGCUCAAAUUGACUUAUCUUCAACAAGUGGCGUCAAUCUGACUUUGUUUCGAACUUAUCACCAUUGGUGUGGCGUUCUUCAUACCGUAGGUUCCUAUUUUGCUAAAUAGAGGGUCUCGGUUUUAUCCCAAAUCCUUUCUUUCUUUGAAACCUUAAGCCCCGGGUCCUUAUUUGCUAAUAAGGGUUUGACUUGUUUUCAUUGAAAUAUCCAGCAAACAACACUCCAUCAAACUCCCUUGUUUCCCAAAGCCAUUUAAUUUUAAACACCAAGACUUGAAUUUAUUUCAAGGCCGACACUACCUAAUUUCGAUCGGGAAAUAUUACGACUCGUUAUUUCAUACGAAACGAGCUCGUAUCACCAGCUCAAUGAGCUCAUUUGCUCAUUCCAUGAGAUUAAUUUAGCUCAUUUUAGUUCAUAUAGUUGCUGGAAUAAAUAAUAGUUAUUUAGUUUAAGUUAUUUUAAAUAAUUUAGCUAAGUGUUAAAUAUAUUUUUCAGCUAUUUAAUUUGUCUAAACUACUACAGAAAUUUAAGUUGUCUUAGGUCAUUUAAUUUGUCUUAGUUUAAUGCAUGGUUUAAAUGUGUCUAAAGUAGAGACAAAUUAAUUAGCUACUACUGAAUUUAAUUUGUGUCCUAGUUAAUACAUGUUUAAUUGUUGUUUAAUGUUUCCAAGUCUAAGAAAAAUUAAUUUCAUGUUUCUAAUUAAUUUGUCUAGCUGAAUUUAAGUUGUUUUAAGCUGAUUUUUAAUUUUGUUUUAGGUAUAUGCAUGGACGGAUUGAAUGGGGUGUGCUGAUGGUUGAGAUGCUCCAAGCACCUCUUCGUUGAGUCCAAGAGACAUUGAGCUACUGAUUUCUCUUCCCCAAGCUGGCCAUUGUGUUCUCCAACAACCCUUAAACGUUUUCAGACUUGCUGGAUGUUCCUUUCACACUCAUGGUUGUUUGGUUUGAGCUUUCACACUAAGAUGGCUGCUCAAUUUUGUUGGUUCACAUUCAAAGGCUGUCGAGUACUCCAAGCUGCUCAUUAAAGUCCAAAACUGUUCAAAUAUUCAAGGCAGCUCAAUUAGGACAAGUUCACACCUUUUGACUAAAUUUUAUCAAGUUAAUUCAGCUCCAUAAUCACUCCAAAUUAAUUCCAGCUGAAUGAAGGCCUCUAGAAGAUGUCCAUUGGUGUCUCCCAUGCUAGGAAACUUAUAGGAAGCUACAAGGAAGUUUCAAGGAAAUUUCAACCCUUCUAGAUAAAUCACAAGCUGUCUAUUCGGUCUCCCAAGUGGCUGAUCAGUUCUCAUUCAUUUUAAAUAUUUCCAGUUGCAUGUAGACACUCUAGAAGCUAUCCAAAGACGUUCCCAAGGCUGGAGAAGCUUCCUGGAACUUUCUUGAAUUAUUUUAGAAAUUUCCAGCUUAUUAAAAGCUGAAAUCAAAUUGCCAAUCAACUCCCCAAGUGCCUAUUCAGCUAGCCAUGUUUUAGGCUAUAAAUAUGUGUUAAUUGCAUUUUGUAAAGGUUACUCAAUUUUUAGACUUUGUCAUUUUAUGAACUUUAUUGUUCUAGUGAGAAUUCAAUUCUCUUUAUUCACAUUAGGACUGAUCUGACUUAUUGGGCAAUCCUCUUGUGGCGUUAAUCUUUCCUUGUUAUCCUGAACUUAUCACCUUUGUUGGUGUGGCGUUCAAAACUAUUCCAAGGUUCCUAUCUUUCAUAGAUAGUGGGUCGAGGUUUAUUUUCAAUUUAUCCUUCCACUUCAACUAUUCUAUUGCUUCUACCAUCAACUACAACCUAAGUUCCAUUUUUGAGACUUGGGUAAACAAUCUUAAUAUUGUUGGUUCAUUCUCCAGCCUUAGCCAUUUCUCCCUAUCUACAAUCCAACUAUCCUAAUCCUUUCUUUGAAACCCUUUUGAGCCUAUUCCAUACUUGAUUUUCACCUUCAUUUCAAUCGACCCAAAGACUUACCCAAUUUACGAUCGGGCAGCUAAUACGACUCAAAUCAUCACCGAGGUGAGUUCAUAUCAUUUGGUAUCAGAGCUAGUUAAAUUGAGGUAAGAUUCGGCAUUUUUUAUAUUCUCAAAUUUACAUUUUAGCGAAGAAAAAAUAAAAAAAUUGAAAAAUAUUCGUUAAAAAAAGAAUAUAUAUUUGAAGUGUAAAAAAAAUUCAGAAAUAGUAAAAAAAAGAAGAGGAUUAUGAAAGUAUAAAAAAAAGUGAAGUCGUCGUAUAAAUUCUUUUGCCCGAAAGUUUUUUUUUUCUUUUCAUUUCUCCCUACUAUCCAAACGGCCACACCUCUUCUUUUUAUUUUGCGUCUAGCUAACCCUUGUCCCACCAUCGUCUUCUACCCAAACCGACAUCACUCUUGUAAGCCGACUCCACACCGACGACCGCUAACUCUAAGUACUCCCUUGUGAAUCGAGAGAAGCGAAUAGAGUAGAAAAAGACAUGAGCGUGGUGAGAUUAUUCGAGUGUGUAAAAGCCAAAAUUUGUGUGAAUUUUCUUUUUGAAAGAAAUUGUGAUGUUUGUGUUGGUGAGUUAUACAUUUUUUUUGUUUUAAUCACUUUUCUUUUCUAUCAUUAAAAUCAUGAUUCAAGAAGAGUUUUCUGAGUCAGAUUUUCAAUAUUUGAUGAACGAGAUGCGUAGAAUCGUGAACUCCAAAUUUGACAAAUUGCAUGAGCGUUUGGACCGAUUGGAGGAAAGAGACCAAUGAGAACGACUGUCUCCAAGUCAAAAGACGGAGUCAAGGUCAUCACGGAGACACGUAUCUGAUGAUCAUUCGAGGAGAGACUCAUACCGAGAUUCAUAUUCAUCAAGAAAGCCAAGAUGGUAUGAAUCAAACCACGAAUUUGAAGCAUUUCGAGGUUACCAAUGAGAAGGUAUAAAUUCUUCUUUAAACGCUUCAACGUAUCCAUCUGCAGAGAAAUCCUUACGAAAAAGUAAACGUGGUUCGUAUGCGUCCAAGUAUUCACCCACAAAAGAUCAUUCUCAAAGAGGUUCAUAUCAUGAUUCCUAUUCGAUGAGGAAUUCAAGGUGAAGCAAAGCAAACUUUGAGUUUGAACCCAAUUAUAGUGACGAGCGAGAAAGUCCAAGUAAUUCUUCGUUACGCAAAGGUAUUCACCUACAAAGAUUCAAUAUCGAAAAGAUGCUCAUAUUUCAUAUGUGGAUCCUUCAUACUUUCCCCAACAAGAGGUUUCUCAUUUUGAUUCUUUUAAGUUAUCUCCUUCUUGUAAUAAAAUAAAAAAAGCAUGGGAGAAAGAAUUUGAAAGAAAAAAAGAAAUGAAAGAAAAAGAGUGUGAAAGAAAGCAAAAAGAGAAUGAGAAAAAGAAAAAAGAAAUCAAAAAAGUAAAAUAAUUUGAUCAAGAAAAGAACAUUGAAAAAGAGAAAGAGACUGAAGAAAGAAAAGAUGAUAAGCUAGAAUCAAGAGAAGUUGACAAAGAAAAAGAAAGUGAGUUAGAAACAAAAAUGAGUGAAAAUGAUGAAAAUGAGCAAGAAAAAAUGAUGAGUGUUUUAACUAACCGUUUUAUGAGUUCUCCUUGCAAUGUUUCUUCUCAGGUUUCUGAAAUUUCAUUGUCCAGCUACAACUUCAUUAUCUUUCCGAUAUGAGACGAUUCUGAAUGAUCGAGAAAGGUAAGAUCGUAGAUGACCCUAGUUCCCUAGCACUUAAAGGUGAGCUAGGUAAGGGUUCUAUGUUAAUCGAGUCUUAACCAUCUCACUUGCAUGAUAGUGGUAAGUUUAAUGAAGACUUAGUUAAUAAAAGAACUCAUCUUGAUUUGUCCAAAUGUCAUUUUUCAAUUAUUGAAGAUUUCGUUUUGAAUCAUGGUUUGGAAAGUUUUUCUAUUGAUGAGAAUGGCGUUGGUAAAUUUGUUGUUGAAGAAAGAUUAAUUUCGCACAAACAACAUUUGAUUUCGUGUGUAACACCCCUUACCCGUACCCGAGGCCGGGAUAAAGUACGAGGCAUUACCGGACAAACAUACGAACACUAAACUAAAAUACGGGCCAUAAAAUUUCAUUCAUAUUUCAAAACGUUCAUUCACUUACACAUAGUCCCUUAUUUGAGUCUACGAAGCCUAAAACAUACUUUAGAAAGGGUUCGGGACUAAACCGAGAACUUACGAAAAUCUUGGAAAUUUUAUGCUUUAAGGCUCCACAUGCCCGUGUCCCAAAGUCGUGUUCCAUACACGGGUGAGACACAUGGUCGUGUCUCUGCCUGUGUGGAAUAUACCUAGGCUAUUUUCCAAGCUUUGGUCAACGUUAAUCUCUUACACACUUAUACAAAAUCAAAAGCAUAUAACAUGGUAUUCAUUUAAUGAUUAAAUAUUCUCAAUUAAACCACAAACAUAGCAUUUGUAUGUCAUCAUACAUGUGUCUCUCAUACUCAUUUCACCUUGUUUAUUAUAGUACCACUUAUACAUUUAUACCAAGAUUAUCAUCUUACCAAAUAUCUUCAGCUUAAUCAUCAAGCAUUCAUAUUUAAAACUAGAUCAUAUCUUUAUAAAAUAUCACAAUUCAGAUGCGCAAAAUAACAUGUUUGCCUAAAACAUUUCAAUUCAACUCCAUACCCAACAAGCAUUACAUUGAGACUAGUCAUAUAUAUAUACAUGUCAUGAUACAUAUCAUUCUCUUUCUGUUUUCUUAUAAACACAUAUCAUUUAUUUCAUUAUAUCAAUAUUUUAAAUACCAUAGUUUCCAUGUAUUCCACAUAUAUUUAUUUUCCUCCUCCUCCUCUCCAUUCCACAUCCUUAAUGUAUAUAUCAUUCUUGUAAGUACAAUUUCACAAUGUACUAAUAAAUGCUCACAUCAAACUGUGAUAGAGGAAUACGCGCGGACCAAGAUCGAGUUGCCAAGUCACAAAAAACUCCUACGAAAGCUCUAAACGAACAGAUCUGAAAUCAAACAAAGAACAAGAUUAAAUUUGGAAAAUUAAAAUCUGGAAUAAGAACCCUAAAAAUCAGCAAGAUCUAAUCAAGGAACGAAACACUUAUGAAAGAGGUUUCUUGAAACCAAGAACACGAAAUUGAUUCCCAAUAAUGAACUCCCACAAGCCGAAUCUGCCAAGAACACCAAAAUAGUAAGUAGAUUGAAACAAUCAGAUUUUUAAUUGGAAGAUUAGGGAUUUGGACGGCAAAAAAAAGAAAAGAAAGAAAUAGGUGAAAUUGAACAGUUCAAGAAGUGAAUUUAAGUUGCGAUUCGGUCCAAUUGAACACCCAAUAUGAAUUGCCCAAAUUUCAGCAGCCGAAUUUCACCCAACAAGAAGAAAUAGAAAACGGCAAGAACCCUAAAUUUUGGGGAAUUUUGAGUCGAUUAUAUGUGGCCAAUAAAAGAACCGAUUAAAUGAAGAGUUCUUGGAGUUUGAAUCAAGGCUGAAACACAAACAAGAACAACAAAAUAUUAGAUGAUGAAUCGGCACAAGUAGGAAUAAAAAAACAAAUUGAAACAGCAAGAAAUAAAGAAAAGUCCUAAGAACCCUUGAAUUCCCGAAAGAAUUCACAAAUUCCUUCAAACGGCUCUAAUCUCCCCUCCAAAGAAUAUCGAUGGCAAAAGAAGGUUGAAGAUGGCUCCCACAAUCAAAAGAUUGUUAAAACAACUUCUAAAGAAAACUCAAGAGAGAAUUCUUGGAGAAAACCCCAAAGAAAAUUCUGCACUCAACAAAUCUGAAAUUUGAUAGAAAAAAAUAAUAAUAAGAUGUGUUUACAAAGGGUGGCUGGCCAAUGCUUAUAUAGGCCUCCAACAAAUCCUAAUCUCACAAGUAACUAAUAAAAAUUAAACCUAAUUAAUAAAAUAACAAGGUAAAUUCGGCCAUGCAAUUAUAUGGGCUGUUUUGGGCCGAAUUUUACAUGUAAUUCUCCUAAAGAUUAAAAAAAUUAAAUUAAACAAGUAGGAUGUUUACGAAUUGGGCCCUUUAACAUUUUGGCCUGAUUUUCAACUAAGUACGAAGAAAUUUCUUGAUUGGGCUGGAUUUUGGUUAUUGGGCCUCGCCUUCAAGAAUUUGGGCUCGUGAUCCAUCUCCUACCAAAAUUGGGUCGUUGACGCUCGUAAUGGAGAUCCAAUGUGUUUUGGCUGCAAGAUUUGGUUUCUUGGACCAAGAUUUCCAAGAUUUGAAAUCUUGAUUUUCUUGAUUCUUGAAAUCUCUUCGAACAGCAAAAUUGGGCCAAGAUUCGAUUUCUUGAUUUUCUUGAAAACAAGAAAGUGAAUCUUGAUUUUCUUGUUCUCUCGUGUAUGAAUCUAAGGCCUUGCUAACAAGCUCUUGAAUGGUCCCAUUUAGUUUGGACCGCAUUUGUCGGGCCUUUGAUCUCGUUAUUGGGCCUUGUGGCAAUUUGAGCCCAUCACGUUCUUGAACUUGGAUUGGGCCUUUAUGACUCGUAUCAUUCCCCCUUCCUCAAAAAGAUUCGUCCUCGAAUCUGAAAAAUCAAAUGGGGACAAGUCAGCCACAUUAAAAGUAGAACUUACAUUGUACUCAACAUGUAGAUCAAUUUUAUAGGCAUUAUCGUUGAUCCGCUCGAGUACUUGGAAAGGCCCAUCGCCCCUGGGUCCAACUUAGUCUUCCUUUUUGUAGGAAAUCGUUCUUUCCUCAAAUGGACCCAAACCCAAUCUCCGGGUUCUAGUAGAACCCGUUUGCGCCCCUUGUUUGCUUUGUUGGUGUUGGCAUCAUUUGUUUUGGCUAUUCGCUGUCUAGCCUUCUCAUGUAAGGAUUUCACCAACUCAGCUUUCUGUUCGCCAUCUAAAUUCAUAACGUGUUUAAGAGGUAAUGGCGCAAGAUCAAGUACUGUUAGUGGGUUAAAACCAUAAACAAGUUCAAAUGGGGAAUAACCAGUUGUAGAAUGAAUAGAUCUAUUAUAUGCAAAUUCAACGAAUGGUAGGCAUUCUUCCCAAUUUCUAAUGUUCUUUCCCACAACAGCUUGUAAUAGAGUCCCUAAGAUUCGAUUAACUACUUCAAUUUGACCAUCAGUUUGGGGGUGACAUGUAGUAGAAUAAAGCAAUUUAGUACCAAGCUUACCCCACAAUACCUUCCAAAAGUGGCUAAGGAAUUUGACAUCUCUAUCAGAAAUAAUUGUUUUAGGGAUGCCAUGAAGUCUUACCACUUCUUUAAAGAAUAAGUCUGCCACAUGUGUAGCAUCAUCUGUUUUGUGACAAGGAAUAAAAUGUGACAUCUUUGAAAACCUGUCAACAACAAUAAAUAUACUAUCUCUUCCUUUUUUUGUUCGAGGCAAACCUAAAAUAAAAUCCAUGGAUAAAUCUACCCAAGGUGAAGUAGGAAUCGGUAGAGGAGUGUAAAGGCCAUGAGGCAUUACCUUAGAUUUUGCUUGUUUGCAUGUAAUGCACUUGGAACAUACCUUUUCCACAUCCUUCUUCAUAUGUGGCCAAUGGAAGUGUUCUUGCAAUAUGUCUAGUGUUUUGGCCACUCCAAAAUGUCCCAUUAGUCCCCCACUAUGGGCUUCAUGAAUCAACAAUUCUCUCAUGGAACACGUUGGUAUGCAUAACCUGUUUAAAUGAAAAAGAAAGCCAUCUACAAGAUAAAAUUUUUCAAAAGCAGUAUGUCCACAAUUCUUAUAGAUAUGGUUGAAAUCAGUAUCAUCAUCAUAUAACUCUUUAAUAUGUUCAAACCCUAAGACUUUAGCAUUCAAUGUAGUUAUUAAAGUAUAUCGUCUAGACAAAGCAUCUGCGACUACAUUAUCUUUACCUGUUUUAUAUUGAAUCACAUAAGGGAAUGUUUCAAUGAAUUCUACCCAUCGGGCAUGUCUUUUACUCAACUUACCUUGUCCCUUUAACCAUUUAAGAGACUCAUGAUCUGUAUGUAUGACAAACUCAUUAGGCAGCAAAUAAUGUUGCCAUACUUGAAGUGCACGAACUAAUGCCAAUAGUUCUUUGUCAUAAGUCGAGUAAUUUAACUGUGCACCGUUCAAUUUCUCACUAAAAUAAGCAAUAGGUUGCUUAUCUUGCAUUAAAACGGCGUCGAUUCCAAUUCCUGAAGCAUCACACUCAAGUUCAAAAGUGUUAGCAAAAUCAGGUAAUUUAAGCAAAGGAGCAGAACAUAACUUAGCUUUUAGAGUUUGAAAAGCUUUUUCUUGGGUUUCACCCCAUUUGAAACCCACUGAUUUCUUUAUAACUUCAGUCAAUGGGGCAGCAAUAGUAGAGAAAUCUUUCACAAAUCGUCUAUAAAAACUGGCUAAACCAUGGAAAGAUCUCACCUCAGUUACCGAUUUAGGAGUCGGCCACUCCUUAAUUGCCUUAACUUUGUCCUCGUCGACAUGAAUACCUUGAGCACUAACUAUGAAACCUAAGAAUAUUAGUUUAUCACAACAGAAUGUGCAUUUAUCAAGGUUGGCAAAUAAUCUUUCAGUUCGUAGAAUAUCCAAAACGGUUCGAACAUGGAAAACAUGAUCAUCUAAUGACUUUGAGUAAAUUAAAAUAUCAUCAAAGUAAACUACUACAAAUUUACCCAAAUGUAGCCUCAAAACAUGAUUCAUUAAUCUCAUAAAUGUACUAGGUGCAUUAGUAAGGCCGAAAGGCAUAACUAACUAUUCAUACAAUCCAAAUUUUGUUUUAAAAGAUGUUUUCCAUUCAUCCCCUUCCCUCAUUCGAAUUUGAUGAUAACCGCUUUUUAAAUCAAUUUUUGUAAAUAUUAUUGAACCAUGUAAUUCAUCAAGCAUAUCAUCAAGUCUAGGGAUUGGGUGUCGAUACUUUACCGUUAUCUUGUUGAUUGGGCGACAAUCAACACACAUACGAAACGUACCAUCUUUCUUUGGCACCAAUAAGACAGGAACAGCACAAGGACUUAGGCUCUCACGAAUGUACCCUUUGUCUAGUAAUUCCUCCACUUGCCUUUGCAAUUCCUUUGUCUCCUCGGGAUUGCAUCUAUAGGCUGGUCGAUUUGGGAUUGAAGCUCCGGGUACUAAGUCAAUUUGAUGUUCUAUCCCUCAUAAAGGUAGUAAACCUUUAGGGGCCUCACUAAAAACAUCCUCAUAAUCCUGCAAAAGAGAUUGAAACACACUAGGCAAAUUUUCGUUAAUGUUAGAUAAAGAUAAAUAAUUUUGCCUAAACCUCACAAGGAUACAAGGCUGUUUAUUAAGUAGGGCUCUCUUCACAUCUUUUUUUGUUGUCAAAAGAUUUUUUCCGCUCAUUUUACCACUAGAGGAUUCACUCACCUUUGGGCUUUUUAAAUUUUGACUUUUUCCACUACUAUUAGCCUCUUUUCUCUCUGUCUUUUGUACUUGCUCUUUCUCCCUUACCCCCUCACAAAAUUUUAUCAUCCUCAAUUGAUCUUUAUAUACAUCAGUAGGAUUUAAAGGAGCAAAAGUGAAUUUCUUGCCUUUAAAUACAAGGGAGUAUCGAUUAAGUUUACCUUGGUGUGUAACAUCGCGAUCAAAUUGCCAAGGUCGUCCAAGGAGCAAGUGUGCCGCAUGCAUGGGGACUACAUCACACCAUACGUCAUCCUCAUAAUUGCCGAGUUUAAAAGUGACCAAGGACUGUUUCGUAACUUUAACUUCGGAACAUUCAUUAAGCCACUGAAGGUGAUAUGGCUUAGGGUGUUUGGUACAAGGAAACUUUAAAGAAUCCACCAAAUAACUACUCACUACAUUCGAGCAACUCCCACUAUCAAUAAUGAGUGAACAUAAGUUACCUUUAAUAAAACACCGAGAAUGGAAAAUAUUGGUCCUUUGGCUCUCAUCAUCUUUUAUCUGAAUGUUAAGGGUUCGACGAACUACAAGGCAUUGAAAAUUAGCAAAGUCCCCUUCCUUUGGUGGUUCGACCAACUCGUCGCCAUUAUCACUGUCAUCCACAAGUUCUGGCAUAUCUGGAUCUGUAUUAUCAGAGUCGGAAGUGUACUCACCGUUAUCUUUUAGAAGAAGUAAUCUCGUGUUAGGGCAUUCUCUACUAUAAUGACCACGCCCUUUGCACUUAAAGCAUUCAAUCUCACGAGUCCUCUUCGCACUCGAAUCACCUAAAUUGGGCUGCUUAGAAGGUGUUUGUGUUUUUGCAGGAGCCCCUUUUUUCCAAUCUGAUUGUUUACUUCCAUUACUCAAAGAAGACUUGUUAGUAACAAAAGGUGGUUUUGAACUCUUAAAAUCAGAAUUGGAAUUGUUACCUCGAUAAUAUUGUGAAGUAGAUAAGGACCCAAACCUUUGUUCCUUUAAUUAUUGCUCGAUCUCAAUGGCUUUGUGAACUGCUUCUUCCAAAUCAAUGUAAGUUUGUAGCCUCAAUGUAUUAGCUAUCGGCCUGUUCAAACCAUCAAUGAAUCGAACCAUAGUUGUUUCUUCAUCUUCCUCCAUAUUAGCUCUUUGAAUGAGCAUCUCCAUCUCUUUAAAAUAUUCAUCCACCGUCCUACUACCUUGGAUAAGUCUUCUCAACUUUGUUUUAAUUUCUCUAUAGUAGUGAGGUGGAAUAAACCUUUUACGCAUAAUCUGUUUCAACUCAUCCCAUGUCGAAAUCUCACCUUCAUAAUUCCGAUGGCGGUUUACCCCAAGUUGAGUCCACCAACUUAAUGCAUAAUCAGAAAAUUCUAGUGUUGCUAACGCUACCUUUUCAUCAUCCGGACAUUUAUAAUACCGAAACAUGAGUUCAAUCUUAGAUUCCCAUUCACAAUAAGCGUCAGGAUCAUUCUUACCACGAAAUUGGGGAAUUGUGAAUUUCGGUUUUGCCAAAGAAGGUUGUCCACGAUCAUGAAAAUCAUCAUCCAUUCUAGGGACACGUCGAGGGCCGCGCCUAUGGGGCUGGUUAUUCCUAUCUUCCCUGAUUGGAUCUCGAUAUUGAAGUUCUUGAUUCAUUCGUACCUCAUUCAAAGUAGUAUUCAAUGCUUGAAGGGUAGCAUUUAUUUGUGUGAUUGCAGCAGCGUGUCCUUCUAACUGUUGUUGGACUUCCAUAAGUGUAUCAUUAUGGUCAUCUUAAGACAUCUUCCAAAAAACCUGCAAAAAUAAACACUCAACACUCAAAAAUAAAAGUUAUCAAACCUCACCGUUAAUCACUCAAAAAGAAAAAAUCAAAUUCUUAAUGAGGUCGAAUACAAUCUUGUGAGUUCUUUAUCAGAGUUUAUAUAGACCAAUUAGAGAGUGUGAACCAAACUACCAAAGAAUCCUAAUUUGCACUAGGAUGCCAAAAACUGACGAGACACCAAUUGAUUCGUGUUGCACCGAGGAAGAAGUUGUGCACACGUUUAAAUCCUACUAACACAAGAAACAAGAAGGUGUUAGAUAACAUAAAGGAAGAAUAAAGGUAAACAAAUGAAAACCUACAGCUAAGAAUCAAUAAAAAUUGCUGAAAACAGAAAACUCGAAAAACUGCGGAGUAACUUGACAACUUCGUUCGAGGUGUUCCCGAUCUCAAAAAAUCACGAAAUUAAAUUUGGAGUGUCCUUAUAUAUUGAAUUUUUUGAUCUGGAAAUUUUGGGCACCAAAUUCAACCCGCUAAAUCUUUUUUUAAAUUUUUAUUAAAUUUCGUCUUUUUUUUAUUUUUUUGACUUUUUUGACUAAUUUUUUUGCGGGAAUAAUUUUUUUUAUAUUCAAUCACAGUGCCAAAAAUAUGUAUGUAAAAUUUCAGAUCAAUCAGAAAACGUUUACCCACUCAAAUGAAUUUUUUUCGAAAAUUUUUCUGGGUAAAACUGCUGUUUGUAAUUUAAAAAAUAGAGAUCAGUUUAGAAAUCAACCAAGAACACCCAAAACGCCCAAAAUCUGAUACCAAAUGAUAGAGGAAUACGCGCGGACCAAGAUCGAGUUGCCAAGUCACGAGAAACUCCUACGAAAGCUCUAAAUGAACAGAUCUGAAAUCAAACAAAGAACAAGAUUAAAUCUGGAAAAUUAAAAUCUGGAAUAAGAACCCUAAAAAUCAGCAAGAUCUAAUCAAGGAACGAAACACUUAUGAAAGAGGUUUCUUGAAACCAAGAACACGAAAUUGAUUCCCAAUAAUGAACUCCCACAAGCCGAAUCUGCCAAGAACACCAAAACAGUAAGUAGAUUGAAACAAUCAGAUUUUUAAUUGGAAGAUUAGGGAUUUGGACGGCAAAAAAAAGAAAAGAAAGAAAUAGGUGAAAUUGAACAGUUCAAGAAGUGAAUUUAAGUUGCGAUUCGGUCCAAUUGAACACCCAAUAUGAAUUGCCCAAAUUUCAGCAGCCGAAUUUCACCCAACAAGAAGAAAUAGAAAACGGAAAGAACCCUAAAUUUUGGGGAAUUUUGAGUCGAUUAUAUGUGGCCAAUAAAAGAACCGAUUAAAUGAAGAGUUCUUGGAGUUUGAAUCAAGGCUGAAACACAAACAAGAACAGCAAAAUAUUAGAUGAUGAAUCGGCACAAGUAGGAAUAAAGAAACAAAUCGAAACAGCAAGAAAUAAAGAAAAGUCCUAAGAACCCUUGAAUUCCCGAAAGAAUUCACAAAUUCCUUCAAACGGCUCCAAUCUCCCCUCCAAAGAAUAUCGAUGGCAAGAAGAAGGUUGAAGAUGGCUCCCACAAUCAAAAGAUUGUUAAAACAACUUCUAAAGAAAACUCAAGAGAGAAUUCUUGGAGAAAACCCCAAAGAAAAUUCUGCACUCAACAAAUCUGAAAUUUGAUAGAAAAAAAUAAUAAUAAGAUGUGUUUACAAAGGGUGGCUGGCCAAUGCUUAUAUAGGCCUCCAACAAAUCCUAAUCUCACAAGUAACUAAUAAAAAUUAAACCUAAUUAAUAAAAUAACAAGGUAAAUUCGGCCAUGCAAUUAUAUGGGCUGUUUUGGGCCGAAUUUUACAUGUAAUUCUCCUAAAGAUUAAAAAAAUUAAAUUAAACAAGUAGGAUGUUUACGAAUUGGGCCCUUUGACAUUUUGGCCUGAUUUUCAACUAAGUAUGAAGAAAUUUCUUGAUUGGGCUGGAUUUUGGUUAUUGGGCCUCGCCUUCAAGAAUUUGGGCUCGUGAUCCAUCUCCUACCAAAAUUGGGUCGUUGACGCUCGUAAUGGAGAUCCAAUGUGUUUUGGCUGCAAGAUUUGGUUUCUUGGACCAAGAUUUCCAAGAUUUGAAAUCUUGAUUUUCUUGAUUCUUGAAAUCUCUUCGAACAGCAAAAUUGGGCCAAGAUUCGAUUUCUUGAUUUUCUUGAAAACAAGAAAGUGAAUCUUGAUUUUCUUGUUCUCUCGUGUAUGAAUCUAAGGCCUUGCUAACAAGCUCUUGAAUGGUCCCAUUUAGUUUGGACCGCAUUUUUCGGGCCUUUGAUCUCGUUAUUGGGCCUUGUGGCAAUUUGAGCCCAUCACGUUCUUGAACUUGGAUUGGGCCUUUAUGACUCGUAUCAAACUGUCCACACGAGUCAUAGUCACUUACUUAUUUAUAAUUUGAGCUACAGAGCCCCAAAUUAAGAUCCGUAAAUUUCCUCUGAAACUAGACUCACAUAUCUUUCCACCAUAAAAUUUUCAUAAUUUUUGGUUUAGCCAAUUAGUACAUUUUAUUCAUUAAAAUUUCCCCUAUUUCACUUUCUGAUAGUUCUGACCUCUCUUCACUAAAAAUUAACUAUCUCACAGUACAGAAUUCAGAUAAUGUUCUUGUUGAUUUAUCUUGAAAAUAGACUUAUUAAGGAUUUUAAAAAUAUAAUUUUAAGCCUCUAAUUAUUUUUAUCUAAAUUUUUGUGAUUUUCCAAAAUCAGAAUAGGGGAUCACGUAAUCAUUCUAAACCAGUCUCACAAAAACAUAAAUAUCUCAAAAUAUAGAACUCCUUUUCUUUCUCUGUUUCUUUUAUAUGGAAAUAGAUGCAUUAAGAUUUAAUUUUAAAUCUCAUUCAGUCUCUGAUUCAUUUUCUACUAUUUUUGGUGAUUUUUCAAAUCACAUCACUGCUACUGUCCAAAAUAGUUUUAUUGCUAAUUCACUCUUUCACACUUUCUUUGUAUUAACCUCAUUUUAACAUACAUAUCACAAAUCAUUUUCACCACAUUUCAUACAUCACAAGUAUAGGCCCAUGAUCACAAGGUCACCAUAAAAUCAUCCUCAUGUAUAACUUACUUGUUUAUAACCUUACCACAUCCUAGUCACUUAAUGAACACAUCAUUCACAUAACCAAGUUCCUGCACUUAUUCAUCACAAAACUCACAAAGCAAUACAUAGAGAGUGUCCCGUUGAACACUUCGGAUCAAUCCUCGAUACUUGUUUAUAACCUUACCACAUCCUAGUCACUUAAUGAACACUCUUUUUGCUCUUUUUCAUUCUCUUUUUCUUUUUCCUCACUUGUUUUAACAGAAUUUUUCAGUUUGAUUUGGUCCUCAUGGACUUGUUCCAGAGUGAGCGGCACUAAGGUGAGUUUCUUUCCUUGAUGCUUGAAAGAAUACCUAUUGGUACGACCAUCGUGAGUGACUUUUCGAUCCAGUUGCCACGGUUCUCCUAGCAACAAAUGGCAGGCUUGAAUAGGCAUUACGUCGCACACAACUUUGUCUUGAUACUUACCGAUAGAAAAGGCGAUGCGCACUUGUUGAGUGACCCUAAAUUGGCCUUCGUUGCUAAGCCCUUGUAGUUGAUAAGGUUGUGGAUGCUUGGUAGUGGUUAAGCAAAGCUUUUCCACCAUCGUCGUGCUGGCUAUGUUAGAGCAACUUUCACCAUCAAUAAUAACUCUACAAAGCUUACCUUGUACGUGGCAGCGAGUAUGAAAGAGAUGUUCUCGUUGCUACUCGCUCUUUGGUUUUGCCAAAGAUGAUUGUCCAUGAUCAUGACAAUCAUCAUCCAUUCUAGGGACACGUUGAGGGUUGCACCUAUGGGGCUGGUUAUCCCUAUCUUCCUUAAUUGGAUCUCGAUAUUGAUGUUUUUGAUUCACUCGUACCUCAUUCAAAGUAGUAUUCAAUGCUUGAAGUGUAGCAUUUAUUUGUGUGAUUGCAGCAGUAUGUCUGUCUAACUGUUGUUGGACUUUCAUAAGUGCAUCAUUAUUAUAACCUUUAGACAUCUUCAAAACCUGUAAAAAAUAAACACUCAACACUCAAAAAUAAAAGUUAGCAAACCUCACCAUUAAUCACUCAAAAAUAAAAAUCAAAUUCUCAAUGAGGUCGAAUUCAAUCUUGUGAGUUCUUUAUCAGAGUUUAUAUCAACCAAUUAGAGAGUGUGAACCAAACUACCAAAGAAUCCUAAUUUGCACUAGGAUGCCAAAAACUGAUGAGACACCAAUUGAUUCGUGUUGCACCGAGGAAGAAUUGGGCACACGUUUAAAUCCUACUAACACAAAAAACAAGAAGGUGUUAGAUAUUGUAAAGGGAGAAUAAAAAGCAAACAAAUGAAAACCUACAGCUAAGAAUCAAUAAAAAUUGUUGAAAACAGAAAACCCGAAAAACUGCGGAGUAACUUGACAACUUCGUUCGAGAUGUUCCCGAUCUCAAAAAAUCACAAAAUUAAAUCUGGAAUGUCUUCAAAUAUUGAAUUUUUGAUCUGGAAAAUUUGGUCACCAAAUUCAACCCGCUGAAUAUUUUUUAAUUUUUUAUUGGAUUUCGUAUUUUUUCAAUUUUUUGACUUUUUCGACUUAUUUUUUUGCGGGAAAUAUUUUUGUAUAUUCAAUAACAGUGCCAAAAAUAUGUAUGUAAAAUUUCAGAUCAAUCAGAAAACGUUUACCCACUCAAAUGAAUUUUUUUUCGAAAAUUUUUUUGGGUAAAACAGCUGUUUGUAAUUUAAAAAAUAGAGAUCAGUUUAGAAAUCAACCAAGAACACCCAAAACACCCAAAAUCUGAUACCAAAUAAUACGGGGUUGCGCGCGGACCAAGAUUGAGUUGCCAAGUCACGAGAAACUCCUACGAAAACCCUAAACAAUUAGAUCUGAAACGAAACAGAAAAUUAAAAGAUUAGAUUUUUGAAUUUUCAGAUCUGAAAUAAAAUCACCAAAUCAGCAAAGAAUCAAAUUGAGAAUAGAAAUAAGUGUUAGGGUUCUUGAAACCCUCAAGGAGAUUGUGAUUCUGCCCAAGUGAACACCAAGAUAGUUUUCCCCAAAUUUCGACAAUCUAAUUUCACCCAAAAAGAGUAUGGAAAAACCCUAGAAAUUGGGGAUUUUUGGGCUGAUUCCUUAAGAUAGAAAAAGGCUGAAAACACAACAAUAACAGAAAAUAGAUUAGAUAAUGAUUCAGCACAAGUAGAAAUAAAGAAAGAAUUGACAGUAAGAAAUUAAAAUAUAAGUCCUAAGAAGCCUUGAAAUCUCGAAAGAUCUCACAACUCCCUUCAAACGGCUCUAAUCUCCCCUCCAAAGAAUAUCAAUGGCAAGAAGAAGGUUGAAGAUGGCUCCCACAAUCAAAAAGAUUGUUAAAACAACUUCUAAAGAAAACUCAAGAGAGAAAUCUUGGAGAAAACUCAAAGAAAAUUCUGCUCUCAACAAAUCUGAAAUUUUAAUAAUAAUGAUAAGUGUUUAACAAGGUGGACAGCCAUGCCUUUAAAUAGGCCUUAUAACUAGUCCUAAUCUAAUUAGAAAACUAAAAUAAAAAAAACUCCUAAUUAUUUUAAUAUGGAAAUUCGGUCAAAGGUCAUUUUAUCUGGGACUCUUGGACUGAAUAUUGACAUAAAAAUUUAAACUAAGUAAAUAAAUAAAUAAAAAUAAAACUUUACAACUUGGGCCACUUUGACAAUUUGGCCUGAUUUUCAACUAAGUAUGGAUGGAUUUCUUGAUUGGGCUGGGAAUUUGCUUAUUGGGCCUCGCCUUCAAGAAUUUGGGCUUUUGUGACUCGUAUCAAUUCAUACGUCUCAAAUCUCAUACGCACAUUCUUGUUUAUACACAGUAGUUUCUCACAAAAGAUCAAUGAGUGCAUAUUUUUACCCAAAUCAAGCUGAUGGAAUGGCUUAUAUGUCUUUUUAUCUUGCAAAUGCCGAAUAAUUAUUAUUUUACUAACAAACUCAUCAGCAUCGCAAUUUCCAAAAGCGUUAUUCUUCUUGCCAUCAUUCCGCGCAAAUGUGUUAUCAUCAAUCAAAGGAUGGCAAGUAACCACAUCAAAGUUCAGAUCACUUCUAAAGGACAAUUCAUCAACAAGGUUUCCAUCAACAAUCGAAUAAAACAGAGGUGCUUUAAGAAUUUCAAAACUCAUACCUCGCUCCUCUUUUGGCAUAGGCGAACUAAGAUAGUUGAGAACGUUACCUUUUUCAACCAAGGUGAACCUUCUCUCCUUGGAAAGGUAUUGGAGUUGUAAAUUAUUGUCACUCGGCCUUUUGGAUACCUGAAAAGCAGAAACAGAACAAGAACAAAUUUCAUAUGGAUUAGUUGAAUUGCUACUCACUUUUUCUGGUUCAUUUGUCUCUUUUUCUCUCGUUUCUUUUUUAAUCUCAACUUCUUUUUCUCUCUUUUCAUUUCCUCUCUCGUUUUCAAUUUUAUUUUCGACCUCACUCUCUUUUUUGAUUUCUUUUUCUUUUUCAAUCUCUUUUUCAUUUCUUUCAUUUUCUUUUUCUCGCUUGCACUCUUGUUCAAUCUCAAUUUCUUUUUCGAAUUCUUUCUCUUCAUUUUCUUUUUCUCUCGCUUUUUCGAUUUCAUUACAAUGUGCAGUCGACACGAAAGAAUCAAAAAUAUAAUCAUUUGCCCCAAAGGAAGAGAAAAUAUUUUCAUAGGCUUCUCGUCCAUUUCUUCGGGAACAAUCCUCCGGGAAGGACUUUUUUGAAUCAUACGAGGAAUAACUCGUCCUCUCUCGUUCGUCAUGUCGAGAAGUUGCAAGCUCUAGGCUGUCGCGUCUUGAAUUCCUUGACGAAUAGGAAUCCCGAUAAGAAUCUCUUAGCGAGUAGUCUUUGGACGCGUAUCGCCGCAAUGAUCUCGACUCCAUUUCUCGAUUUGGUAGAUUUUGUUUUCGUCUGGCUCUUUCCUCCACUCGAUCCAAUCGAUCAUGCAAUUUAUCAAAAUUUGAUUUCACCAUUCUAAGUAUCUCUUGCUUCAAAUAUUGGAAAUCUGAUUCGGAAAAUUCUUGUGACAUGAUUUUUUUUUUGCUAAAAAAAUGAUUAAAAUAAAAUAGAAAGUAAAUACCUCACCACAAAAAUCUCACGUUUCACUCACAAAGAAAAUUGGAUAACACUCCACUCGUGUUUACACUUGUUUAAUGGCUUUUGCUCGCUCUAAUGUACUCACCACUCGUGCCUUUUUCCGCUCGUCUCACUCUCGUGAAUUCGUAUUUUGUUUCAAGAAGACUUAUUGCGACUUAGAGGGUCGGCUUCAAAUGGGUUACAAGGGAUAAAGUCGGGUGUAGGGUAGGCUAAACAAAGAAAAUAAAAAUCAAAGUAUGUGUGGCGUUUUGGGGGGGGUAAAUAAUGGUAGGAAGGGAAACUUGAUGAUCGGAGUAAAUAAGAGAAGAAAAUAAAAACUCGCAAGACUUUUCACUUUUUUUUAAACUUGAUUUUUUUUGCUCACCUUUUUUUUUCUUUUCUUUUUUUUGCUCGAUUUUUUUUCACUUUUUUUUUGAAUUUUUUUUUUCAAUCAAUUUUUUUUUUCGAAUUUUUUUUUGAUUUUUUUGUUACUUCAAUACAAUAUUAAGCUAAAUACAAGGGAAAAAAAUUAAAUUACAACUCAAAAUUUUUUUUUGAUUUUUUUUCACGUUUCAAACCUACUUGCGGCCUUAUUAUGAACGUCGGUGCUCCUCGUUUUAGUAGCUCUGAUACCAAAUGAUGUGAUCCGGCCGGGGUUAAUUGAGUUGUUUCACGUAAUUGCCCGAUCGUCGACGAGGAAUAGUUGAGUUAUCGAAAAUAGGAUGAAAUAAGGCUAAAGAUGCGGAAGCUUUCAAAUGGUUUUAAAGGUUGGCUAAGGUGAUGGUAAAUUUAUAAGGGUAGUAGGCUCGAUUUAAGGAUAAAAAUAAGAAAAAUGGAAGUUGAUAAAUGAAGGCUCGAUUUUGUAAAAAGAUAUUAUAGUUGGGUAAAAUCUAGGGUAUUCGGUGGAAUGGAUAAAUGAGCUUAAACACCAGAAACGAUUCAACACUAAAAAGUGUCACCCCGAUUUCUAUUCGGUUCAAGGUGGGAUUACAGAAUUGUGGAAAGGUUGAACGCCACACCAAAGCAAGGUGAUAAGUUCAAAAGAGAACGAUAGACGCCACUAGCACGCUAGAUAAGUCAGAUCGAAACUCGUACGAAUUUAGAGAGGAGAAAACUCACUCUUUGAACAAAGUUCAUUCAAAUGAUCAAAAGUCAAAAGUCCUUUACAAAUGAAAUUAAUCAACUAUUUAUAGCCAAAGCUUAGGCUAGCUGAAUAGUCAAUAUCUAACUUAAAAACUAAGUAAAUAAAUAAAUAAAAAAAUAAAAAUCAGUAAACUACCAUAGCAAGGUUCGGCUGAAUGAAAUUAAGGCUGGAAAUUAAAGCUCCUAGUUGUUGCCACAUGCAUGCACAUCUUGCUUCAAAAUACAUGCAUAGCCGAAUUCAUGCUCUUCAUUAAAUGUGUUCAUUGGAUCAACAAAUGCAUGUCCAGCAGCCUCCUUAAUUCAAUCUUCAAAAUACAUGCAUGAUUGAAUGCAUGUUCUACUCGGGAAAAUGGAAUGGGCGGCCAGAUUUAAUGUGAACAGUCAAGUUCUUUGUCUCCACGAAAAGGUGCUUGGAGAAUAGCAAUCAGCAGCCUAAAUUCAUCUUGAAUACAACUUCACAUUCAUGUAUCCUUUGCUGUGCACGAAAAAGGUGUUUAGAAAAGAACUAAGUCAACAGUUCAUUUAGUGCCGUUCUUUGCAUGGAGAGAAAAAUGCAACAGCAACUUAAAUGUUGUCCCAUGUCAAGAAAACAUAUUAAAUUUGGUAGCUUGAAAAGGUGCAGCAGCAACCUUCUCUUUAAUGCCGUCCAUGACUUGUACCUGCAUGAAUUGGUUCAACAAAUUAAUUCCAUUUUGGACUCAUUAAAUUCGGCAGAAAGAAAUUAAUCCUGCAAAAUUAAAUGCUCUUUAAAUUUCGGCUGGACAAAAAUUCAAGAAACAUUAAAAUUCUGCAGCAGCAAGACGCAUUAAAUUAAAGAAGUAAAACACAUUAAUUAACAUUUAGACACAUUUAUUUAAGUUAAGACACAAUUAAUUCAGCUGGACAAAUUAAAUAGCAGCAGCUAAUUAAACCAAUGUCUAAUUUUGGCUGGACAUAUUAAAUAUCAGUAGCUAAUAAAUUUGUCCAAGACUUAACAUAUUAAAAUUAGCUAAUAACUAUGUAUGAACUAAGACACAUUUAAACUCAAUUAAUAUGUCCAGAAUUUGACUCAUUAAAAUGCAAGUUAAUUUAUGUUGAGCUGAACUUAAUUAAAUUAACUAACUUAUUUAAUUAACUAAGUUUAUUCCAGCAAAAUAAAAUGCAAACUUAAUUAAAUAAAUUGCAUUCUAGCUAAAUGAGCUAGAAUCCACCCGAAUUGAACUGGGACGAGCUUGUGAAAAUGACGAGCCUCGCUUGUGGGAAGAGACUAAGGAUGUUUCCAGGGCGGGGUCGUAUCACUAUUUGAUAGUGAUAAGUUCGGGAUAGUGAAGGACAGGGUUGACGCCACUAGGCUUCCUAGAUAAGCCAACGAAGUCCUCAACGAAAUAUGAGAGAAAGAAAUCUCACAAAUUCCAUGAAAGUUUAACAGAGUUUCAUUAAGUGAAAAGUCUAACCUCUUACAAAUGAAAUAACAUAUAUUUAUAGCCUAAAUAAAAGUAGCUGAAUGGACAAGCUUAGAAGCUAAGAAAUUCGGCCAUAAACACCUAGAUAAUUCUAGAAGAAAAAUCAUGAAUAUCCAUGAAUGUGCAUGAUGUCAGCACGCCCGGGGCAUCUUCGAAUGCAAACCAAGAUCUAAACGAGCUGCCUAAAGGACCUAUAACUCAAGCUCAUGCUAAACAUUUCCUAGAAGCUAUUUUAGCUUCUAAUGCAAAACCUUGGUUCGAAAUAAGGGCCAAUGCUCACAAAAUCAGCUUGAAGCAACUAUCCAAAGGACCCAUGCAUUGUUGGCUAGCUGAUCCUAGCUCAUUUCCAGCUCCUCGAGCUCCGUCCAGCUCAACUCAGCUCAUUUAAGCUCGUUUCAGCUCAACCGAGCUUACUUUCAGCUCUUUCUUUCUUCCUUUUAAUAAACUAAGUCUUAAUUUAGUUUAUAAUUAAGUUUGCUACAGCUCAUGCCGAAACCCCUAGCUCAAUUUCAACUCAUUAAGUGUUUUGACUAUUUUUGAGCUAGCCGAAUUUACUUUAUUAGUUGACUUAUAAUUAUUAUGUUUGAAUUUAGUUAAUUUCAUUAAAUUGUUUAAUUAUUAAUUAUGAUUUUUAUGAACAGUUAUAUUUUAAUUAAUUGUGUGUUAAUUCAUGUAGGUUAGCCGAAUGUGGAAUUCAUGAAGAGAUGCAUGAACGAGAAAGUUCAAUGAAUGGGAAGAUUCAUGCACGGCCUGGUCCAAUGCUUGAGGGAAUUAAGUUCAUAUACAUGGGAGGUUAAUUACAUGCAUGUGGAUUAAGAAGAUACAUUCACUUUGGACGGCACACAUGCAUGAAUGAAGGCAUUUAUUGCAUGUUCAUGUACGGCCAGAUUCAAGCUCCCUUCUAGUUCAUGCAUGGCCGAAUGUAUGUGGGUGAAAUACAUGAAUUGUUUGCUGUCCAAUUGACUUCCCUAGGUGUCUAUUCGGCCAAGAGACACUUUUUGAAUGAUUCAUUUAUCCCAUGGCCGAAUUUAGGCAAGCUAUUGAGUUCCCAAGACAUCACAUUCAUCCAAGAUGCUUUGCUUACACAUGAAGCUGUCCAAUGGAGUUCCCAUCAGCCGAAUUUAGUCCUAGCUAAUUAAAAACUUGUUCCAGAUUAUUCUAGUGCAUUCAUAGCUGAAUUUAUUUAGUCUUUAAAGCUACUAGCUUGUCCAUUCGGCUACUACUUGUUAGCCUAUAAAUAGUUUGCACAUUUCAUUGUAAAGGGGCUUUUUGCCAACUUUGUUAAUGAACAUUUGUUCUUGUGAGGUUGCUUCCUCUCAUAUCUCGUACAAGUUUCGAAAGACUUAUCUGGCUUGUACUAGUGGCGUCAAUCGUCUUGUUUGAACUUACAACCAAUCUUGGUGUGGCGUUCACCUAUCCAUCUAUCCAUCUUUUCACCUUAACAAUAUAGGAACCGGGGUGACACUUCUUAUUGUUGAAUCAUUCCUGACGUUAAGUUCGUUUUCCAUUCCCACCCUUCGAAUUAUUUUCUUGUUAUUCCAAAUCGAGCCAUUUAACCAUCAUCCAUCUUUGCUACUAAAUCUAACCUAUUACUAUAUUCACCCUACUUUGAAACCUUCCGCUUACCCGUAUCUUUUCAUUCACUUCUAGUUCUAAAACCCGAAGCACGAACGACUCUCUCGAACGAUGAUCGGGCAACUAAGUGAAUUCGACUCAUCAUCCCCAGCUGGAUCACAUCAUUUGGUAUCAGAGCUUG
rnacentral:lncRNA from 1 species